rnacentral:rRNA from 1 species
CCUACGGGGCGCAGCAGUGGGGGAUAUUGCACAAUGGGGGAAACCCUGAUGCAGCGACGCCGCGUGAGUGAAGAAGAAUUUCGGUAUGUAAAGCUCUAUCAGCAGGGACGAAAAUGACGGUACCUGAGUAAGAAGCCCCGGCUAACUACGUGCCAGCAGCAGCGGUAAUACGAAGGGGGCAAGCGUUAUCCGGAUUUACUGGGUGUACAGGGAGCGUAGACGGUUAUGCAAGUCUGAAGUGAAAGGCGGGG